AUUGAACGCUGGCGGCAGGCCUAACACAUGCAAGUCGAGCGAGCGGCGGACGGGUGAGUAAUGUCUGGGAAACUGCCUGAUGGAGGGGGAUAACUACUGGAAACGGUAGCGAAUACCGCAUACCCUCAGAGGUGCCCAGAUGGGAUUAGCUCGUAGGGGGGGUAACGGCUCACCUAGGCGACGAUCCCUAGUUGGUCUGAGAGGAUGACAAGCCAAACUGGAACUGAUCACCGGGCAGGAUUCCUAGGGGAGGAAGAAGGGGGGAUUAUUGAACAAUGGGGGAAAGCCUGAUGCGGCCAGGCCGGGUGUAUGAAGAAGGCUUUCGGGUUGUAAAUUACUUUCAGCGGGGAGGCGUUACCCGCAGAAGAAGCACCGGCUAACUCCGUGCCAGCAGCCGCGUAAUAC
rnacentral:rRNA from 1 species